AUACGUAGGGGGCAAGCGUUAUCCGGAUUUACUGGGUGUAAAGGGAGCGUAGACGGUUCUGCAAGUCUGGAGUGAAAGCCCGGGGCUCAACCCCGGGACUGCUUUGGAAACUGUGGAACUGGAGUGCAGGAGAGGUAAGUGGAAUUCCUAGUGUAGCGGUGAAAUGCGUAGAUAUUAGGAGGAACACCAGUGGCGAAGGCGGCCUGCUGGGCUUUAACUGACGCUGAUGCACGAAAGCAUGGGGAGC
rnacentral:rRNA from 1 species